GCAAACUUGGUCAUUUAGAGGAAGUAAAAGUCGUAACAAGGUUUCCGUAGGUGAACCUGCGGAAGGAUCAUUACUGAAGCAUUAGAAAGGUUGUUGCUGCCUUUAACAAAAGGAUUGUGCACACUUUUCAAACCUUCUCAACCACCUGUGCACUUUUGUUAGACUUGUUAAUAUCUCUCACUGAAAAAUGUGGACAGAUGAGCUUGCUUUGUUGUAGGGCUAGCUUUCAAUUUUAACAGUCUAUACCUUUCAUAUACACCUUUUGAAGUCUUAGAUUGUAUGUUUGUGGGUUGUAAUGACCUAUAACAAUUUAUAUACAACUUUCAGCAACGGAUCUCUAGGCUCUCGCAUCGAUGAAGAACGCAGC
rnacentral:misc_RNA from 1 species